AGAGUUUGAUCCUGGCUCAGGACGAACGCUGGCGGCGUGGAUUAGGCAUGCAAGUCGGACGCGAAAGGGGUAGCAAUACCCCGAGUAAAGUGGCGAACGGGUGAGUAACACG
rnacentral:rRNA from 1 species